AAAACCAAGUCCAUCACGGCAGAAUUUGAACUCAGAACGUAAAGACGGACGAAUCGCCGCUGUGCAUAUUCCCUCGGCUUGCUAACGAUUCUGCUAGAACAAUCGGUUUUGAGAGAAGAAAUACUACUAAUGUCGUCACAACCACCAGCAUAACUACUACUACUACUACUAAUAAUAAUAAUAAUAAUAAUAAUAAUAAGAAGAAGAAGAAGAAGAAGAAGAAGAAGAAGAAGAAGAAGAAGAAGAAGAAGAAGAAGAAGAAGAAGAAGAAGAAGAAGAAGAAGAAGAAGAAGAAGAAGAAGAAGAAGAAGAAGAAAAAGAAGAAGAGGAAUCACAAACCGAUUAUAAGAAAGCCUAUGACAUGAUCCCACACUCACGGACAAGUGAAUGUUUGAGUAUAUUCAGUAUUGCAGACAACCUAAGCGAGUUAACUAACCUUAGCAUGAAUGAAUGUUGCUGUAGGACACCAGCUUUGACGACAUAUUCUCUUCAAUGGAGGUGAUAUAGAAAAAUAAUACUUCAAACAAAGUAGAAUAGCAUCUAGUGAAAAAAAUAUUUAGCCUGUAUUAGCUUUCGAUUAAGUACCAGAUGGAUUGUACUAU